GAUGAACGCUGACAGAAUGCUUAACACAUGCAAGUCAACUGUGGCGGACGGGUGAGUAACGCGUACAGAACUUGCCUCACGGAUAGGGACAACAUUUGGAAACGAAUGCUAAUACCUGAUACUGUGAGAGCGCUUUGCGUCCCAUUAGCUAGUUGGAGAGGUAACGGCUCACCAAGGCGAGGAUGGGUAGCCGGCCUGAGAGGGUGAUCGGCCACAAGGGGCCUGGGGACCGGCCCUUGGUGCUACGGGAGGCAGGAGUGGGGAAUAUAGGACAAGGGACCAAAGUCUGAUCCAGCAAUUCGGGGUGCACGAUGAAGUUUUCGGAAUGAAAAGUGCUUUCUGUUGGGAAGCGGUACCCACAGAAGAAGUGACGGCUAAAUACGUGCCAGCAGCCGCGGUAAUAC
rnacentral:rRNA from 1 species